CUGGGGAAGCCUUAGCUUAAGUAAAGUGUCUGAGUUGCAUUCAGGAGAUGUGUCUAGAGUUUCACAGGU
rnacentral:tRNA from 1 species